rnacentral:rRNA from 1 species
CCUACGGGAGGCAGCAGUGGGGGAUAUUGCACAAUGGGGGGAACCCUGAUGCAGCGACGCCGCGUGGGUGAAGGAGUGCUUCGGCAUGUAAAGCCCUAUCGGCAGGGAAGAAGCAAGACGGUACCUGACUAAGAAGCACCGGCAAACUACGUGCAAGCAGCCGCGGUAAUGCGGAGGGGGCGAGCGUUAUCCGGAUUCACUGGGUGUAAAGGGAGCGUAGACGGCCAUGCAAGCCAGGGGUGAAAGCCCGGGGCCCAACCCCGGGACUGCCGUUGAAACUGGGGGGCUGGAGUGCGGGUGGGGCAGGCGGAAUGCCUGGUGUAGCGGUGAAAUGCAUAGAUAUCAGGAAGAACCCCGACGGCGAAGGCAGCCUGCUAAGCCGCGACUGACGUUGAGGCUCGAAAGCGUGGGGAGCGAACAGGAUUAGAUACCCUAGUAGUC